rnacentral:snRNA from 1 species
AAGGAUGACUUGCACAUUCGUGAAGCAUUCCAUAUUUUU